rnacentral:misc_RNA from 1 species
GUAUUUGUUUUAUAGGCAUGAAAGCCCGUUGACUACAUUCUUCAUUAUACAAUUGGGGUGUGUAAAGGUACAUAGACCUGGAAAUUCAAAAAGAGCUAGAUCUUUCGACACAGCAAUCCUUGCAUCCGCUCAAGAGCGAGAGUUAUCCAGGCCUACAUUAAGUGCACAGGUGGAAAGAUAAAAAUGACAGGUGUGCACAUGCUCCGAGAAGCCAGCUACAUCCCAUGCCAUAGUUAUUCAUUAAUGAUCCUUCCGCAGGUUCACCUACGGAGA